UAAGCGAGUCAUGUGGGCUG
rnacentral:misc_RNA from 1 species